CCUACGGGUGGCAGCAGUAGGGAAUCUUCCGCAAUGGACGAAAGUCUGACGGAGCAACGCCGCGUGAGUGAUGAAGGAUUUCGGUUCGUAAAGCUCUGUUGUUAGGGAAGAACAAGUGUCGUUCAAAUAGGGCGGCACCUUGACGGUACCUAACCAGAAAGCCACGGCUAACUACGUGCCAGCAGCCGCGGUAAUACGUAGGUGGCAAGCGUUGUCCGGAAUUAUUGGGCGUAAAGCGCGCGCAGGCGGUCUUUUAAGUCUGAUGUGAAAGCCCACGGCUCAACCGUGGAGGGUCAUUGGAAACUGGAAGACUUGAGUACAGAAGAGGAGAGUGGAAUUCCACGUGUAGCGGUGAAAUGCGUAGAUAUGUGGAGGAACACCAGUGGCGAAGGCGACUCUCUGGUCUGUAACUGACGCUGAGGCGCGAAAGCGUGGGGAG
rnacentral:rRNA from 1 species